rnacentral:lncRNA from 1 species
GCUCUCACGUGAGCAGCAGCUAGACGUUUGCAGACGUCCUUCUAAUCCUGGUCUUCAUUUGGUCCGGUUGCCAUCUCCGUUUUACCUCGAAGGCGGGCGGGCCCGUGGCCAGGAGAAGAGGAGGAGGAGGAGCCAUCCCAUCGCUGCCUUGUCGCCUGUCUGUGUCUGUGGAUCUUGCGCCUGAAGGCCAGAUCAACCCCAGGAGCAGGAAGAAGAGGAAAAUUGCCCCGAAACAAGUUUGCAGGAACUCGGUGUUACUCCAGGCCAGAAAUUGAAGGAAGAAACUGCCUGGACCUGUGCGGGUGUAUGUGGGGGUGCCUCUGCCCCCACGACAUCUGCAGGGGCAGGGAAGUACCUGUAGCUGCAGCAGAGCCUGCUGGCUGUAGCUGAAGACUCCGCAGCCCCAUCUCCCCCGCAUCUCGACUUGGGAGCACUCCUCCAGCCAGAGCAAGUC